UCCUGGAUAGAGGUGGAGCCCUUUCUAGUAAGUGAAAUAUCACAAGAAUGGAAAAACAAGCACCCAUGUACUCACCAUGGAAGUAACGUUCAUAGGCUGUCCAGCAGGUGGGAGGGGGGAGAAGGGGAUGGUAAAUUCACCUAAUAGCUGUAUUACACACUGUCUGCAGAAUGGGUGUGCUUGUAGCUCUGACUUGGGUGGUGCAAAAGCAAUUUAUGUGACCAAAACAUUUGUACCCCUGUAAUAUUCUGAAAUGAAAAACAAAAACUAAAAAUAAAACAAAACAAAAAAUAAACAGAAGUAUGGCUACCUAGCUGGGGGAGCCACCAUCCUACUACAUGUUCACUGGCCCUUAAAUUCUCAAAUCCAUCCCAUGAGUGUUCAGAAGAAGGAAGGUCGGGGCAAGUAUCCCUCUCCCCACACUGAUGUUCUAGAUGGCAGUAAACGCACCUCUGUGACUUUUUCUACUUGGAAGCGGUGCGAUGGUAGACUUUGUUUGCUCAGAACAAUAAGCGUUUGCCCAGCUGGUCACGGAGGCCUGGCCUGGACUUCUGGGAGCCCUACCCAGUGGCCUGACCUCUUGGGAUAAUGCCAGCCCAGCUGGAUGGAGCAGGAAGGCCAGGCAGGAAGAGGCCCUGACAGCCUUGGGAAAGAGGAAAAUGGAAGCUGUCGUAGGAGACUGCAGGUCCUAGAGGUCUCGCAGUGAGCCCGCAAAGGGCGGCGUUAGUGACCUCCUGAGCAAGCGCGGGAGGAGGCUGAUGGGGCUGCCUCCUUAGCCACCGGAGUCUGGCUGGGAAGUGGCCUGAUCCCAGGCAGGCCUCUCCACAGAGGAGGGUUUGGAAGCUCUUUAAAAAUUCAUAUGUUAUUAAAGUAAUUUUUUCCCCUCAAAUUUCUGUCCCCUGCCUAAUUGUGUUUGGGAAAACAAGGGGGGCUAAUGUUCCCAGCACAAGUUUGUGCUUCCCUGGUGGCUUGCCCAGUUCUUAGCCAGGCCUGGUCCUCCUCCACCUAGCGGGUCUUGUCCCUGACUCCCCAGAUGGGAGGGAGACUGGGCACCAUGCUGGGUCGAUUGUCAGAAGGGCCCGUGAUCUUGGCUUUAUGAUAAUCAUAGAUUGUGUGAUCUAGAAAGAGCCAUCACGUCCUGUCUCCUGGCUCUAGGGAGGAUGGAAUUUAAACUCGUGUUCUCAGAUAACCGUCUUCUCAGUUUUUUAAAAAAAGUAAUUCCCAAAGAAGCAGCUACCUUAGCAGCUCUUGGGAAGGCUUUCCUGCUUUUCUCGCUGUUGGCCAAGAACAGUUAAGCUGCUGCCCUGCAGACCCACUAGGACUUGGACAGGACCAGCCUGAGAACUCUCCGCACGCCCUGGAGCCCACUGAGUGCCCGUGGCCUUGCUCCAUCUGUAGCUGUAGAGAGAUUUGUGUUACAUGCUGCUGCUGGGUUCAACCCUCAGAUUUUUCCUUCGUGCUUCAGGCGGUACAUGCCAGUUGGAAAGCAUGUGAGCAGAGUUAGGGGGAACUAUGGUAGAGGGGACGAGGGGGCGCCUGUGAAGGGAGGGCGGGAGAGGACAGGCCGCUGUGUAGGCGGCUUUGAAAAGACACUCGGAAGCAGCAGCCCACAGCCGCGUCUCAGCCGCACGUCCGCAGGGCACGGGUAACGGAUGGACCCUAGUGGGCAUAUUUCUCCAAAAUGUCCCAGCUAGAAAUCCCUUCUCUGCAAGCCUGGCUUGAACGCAAUAUUUUAAAAUGGAUAAUUUCUACCAGAAGACCAUGAGCAUUUAAGCUCCCCAAAGGGAGGAGGUGGCAUUUAAAGCUUUUUUUAAGAAAAUGAACUUUGAAGAUAAGUAGGGUGGGUGAUUCUUGAGCCCCAAGUGCCUAAGCCUUUGGAGCACAAGCUUUUCCAGCACUUUUUCCUUCUCCCCGCUCUCCUGUUCAGAGAGCUAGGGACAGCGUCUCGGCUCUGACUGCCAGUCACAGGAUUUACAAUGAUAGAAUGGAAGAGCUGAAAAUGACCCACAAAUUCAGCUUGUCCAAACUCCUCCUGUCACUGAGAAAGAAAUGAAAAACAGGAACACAAAGGACUUUAAGGGCAGAAACAGACCCUAACUGCUGUCUGCCCCCAUUUCCAGGGGUCUCUGUCUUGACCCCCUUGGUCUGGCGCCAUCAGUAGCUCAAGGCCCGUGCUUUCCACCUUUAGAGCUCCAUGCUCCCUCUGAAGGGCGUGAGCCGGGCACAACUCGGUGGCAGGCAGAAUUAAUACCAGUGUGGCGUGACAUUACAGGGUGCCAGGAGAACUUUGAAAUCAUGCUGCCGCCAGCCAGCGACGGAUGCUCGACCUUCCACCAUUAGAGAUUCAUUCUUUUGUGCUUUGGGGGUUAGGCAGGCUUCCCAAGUCUCCUUGGAUGCAAAUACCUCUGGGAGGGCCACCAACAGUUGACAGCUGACAAACUGGAAGGGCUGCUUCUCCAAGAGCACUGACAGCCACAGUGGCGGCGCUGGUGUGCAGAUGGUAGGCUAUUACCUGACGGCUGAAUAGACAAGACAGAACGUGCCCCAGCUGCACCAGAGGGACAUUCCCUUCGCAAGGCAUGAGCAAGUGUUUGCAAACCCAGAGCGAAAGACAGGGCUGCCCACACCCACGUGCCAUCAGAGAACCGCCAGCCCAGGGCUUUCUGUGGGACAGGUGCCCGCUCUUCUCCCCCUAGGCUUCAUGUGCAGGAGUUGACCUGUAUGGGCACGUUUCUCUACUGCUGAAGAAGGGAGAAGUUCAUUUUACUAUUCUGUGAGUGGAAGACAGGGGGAGAGACCCAGACAACAGAGGCAAUGGUGUAUCAUCUGCAUUCUAUCCUGACACUGGGCUUUGUGCCCUUGCAGGGGCAUAGAAGAGUUAGGGACAGACACUGCAAGGGCAUUUCUCCAAGAGACUGCAUGAGACUCUGAACACAAGGAGUGGGGCCUGGGGGCACGUCUGGUUUUCCCAGACUUCUGCACAACAUCCAGCUCUGCGAGUGCUGGGAGACAGCAGCCCUGGCACAGCCCGUGGCCAUCUCAUGAGGGACAUUGUCAACAUGGGCAAGAGCAAGGCUCCUGCAAAUAACCUCCAGGUUACAGGACAGUGACUAAGUGGAGCCAAAGAUGAAGCAUGAGAUGACUAAAGGUGAAGUAGUCACAGAGUGGACUGAGCCUAGUGACAUGAUGACUCUGCCUGGCUCCUCCAGCAACCCAGCUGGGGCUUCCAGGAUCAUCCUCCGUGGCCAGCACUGGGGACCUCAGGGAAGCGCAUUAAUUCAAAUAUGUUUUGAAGUCAAGAAUCAUUAGACAGAUCACAGAACUUUUUGGUGACAUCAAAUUGAUGCCCUGCUCCUCAGCACUUGGAAGUGAUCUGGUUUCUAUAAAGACCUCUAGGGAAAAUGCCCAUGUCUCAGCAUCUUUCAUGAACCUUUUCCCGGGCAUUGGAAAGCUCUUGGUGUAGAAACACCUUUAAAACAAAAUUGUGUUUUUUAUUUCAUGGAUCUUACUACUUAAGUGCCUAAUUUGGGGCUUUGAAUUCAGCAGGUGUUUUUGAAUUGAUGUUGCCUAAGAAAGGGAAGGAAGGUGGGAAUUUUGCCUUCCAAGUUUUUAGGCUACUGUUCUAAUCACAAUAUAAUUGUGAUUGUAUCAAAUCACAAUUUGGUAAGGAAUUGGAAAUAUAUGUUAAAAUAAUACAUCUUUUGGGAAAUUAUCAUAUGGAAAUAAAAGCUCUUGUUCA